AUUGAACGCUGGCGGCAGGCCUAACACAUGCAAGUCGAGCGGAUGAAGGGAGCUUGCUCCUGGAUUCAGCGGCGGACGGGUGAGUAAUGCCUAGGAAUCUGCCUGGUAGUGGGGGAUAACGUCCGGAAACGGGCGCUAAUACCGCAUACGUCCUGAGGGAGAAAGUGGGGGAUCUUCGGACCUCACGCUAUCAGAUGAGCCUAGGUCGGAUUAGCUAGUUGGUGGGGUAAAGGCCUACCAAGGCGACGAUCCGUAACUGGUCUGAGAGGAUGAUCAGUCACACUGGAACUGAGACACGGUCCAGACUCCUACGGGAGGCAGCAGUGGGGAAUAUUGGACAAUGGGCGAAAGCCUGAUCCAGCCAUGCCGCGUGUGUGAAGAAGGUCUUCGGAUUGUAAAGCACUUUAAGUUGGGAGGAAGGGCAGUAAGUUAAUACCUUGCUGUUUUGACGUACC
rnacentral:rRNA from 1 species